rnacentral:rRNA from 1 species
GAACGGAGUCUUCCCCGCAAGGGACGGCGAGACAGGUGCUGCAUGGCUGUCGUCAGCUCGUGUCGUGAGAUGUUGGGUUAAGUCCCGCAACGAGCGCAACCCUCAUCCUUAGUUGCCAUCAUUGAGUUGGGCACUCUAAGGAAACUGCCCCGGUUAACGGGGAGGAAGGUGGGGAUGACGUCAAGUCCUCAUGGCCUUUAUGUCCAGGGCUACACACGUGCUACAAUGGGCGGUACAAAGGGUUGCAAUACCGUAAGGUGGAGCUAAUCCCAAAAAGCCGCUCUCAGUUCAGAUUAGAGUCUGCAACUCGACUUUAUGAAGGCGGAAUCGCUAGUAAUCGCAGGUCAGCAUACUGCGGUGAAUACGUUCCCGGGCCUU